rnacentral:rRNA from 1 species
UACGUAGGUGGCAAGCGUUGUCCGGAUUUAUUGGGCGUAAAGAGCUCGUAGGCGGCUCGGUAAGUCGGAUGUGAAACCUCCAGGCUCAACCUGGAGACGCCAUCUGAUACUGCCGUGGCUUGAGUCCGGUAGAGGAGCAGGGAAUUCCUGGUGUAGCGGUGAAAUGCGCAGAUAUCAGGAGGAACACCAGCGGCGAAGGCGCUGCUCUGGGCCGGUACUGACGCUGAGGAGUGAAAGCGUGGGGAGCGAACAGG